UCUCUGAACUACAAUACCUUUAAUGUUCCCUCAUUAAGGGGUUGGGUGGGGGUCUUUGUAGUAUCCUCACCAUUCGUCCCUCUACCUCUCAUACUGGGCAGAAUCUUUUGUCCACUCUUGGGUGUGAUACUUAAACUGCUGAUUUCUAUUUCUGUCCUUUAUCCAUCCCAUGUUGUGACAAGUGCCUUCUGCAUGUGGUUUUUGAUGGAAAACUUUCCAAAAAGUAUUGCUUUGGCCCACCCUGAACAGACCUUCACCUUCAGUGCCAUCAUCAUCAACCAGAAGCAUUUGGACACUUUCUUUUCGAUGUGGUCAGAUGCUUUCCAGGGAAGAUGUGACUCUCUCUGUCCAGUUAUGAGUAACAAAUGGACAGAUGGAAAUGGCAUUAGUGUUCACAGAAGGUGACCUAUGUGAACACUUAAAAUCACAGGAGAAUCCACAUAAAGUCCACAUUCUUGAACUAAAACAUGGAUCAUGGGCGGCUUUCACCAUUUCCUAAGAGCUAAACUA